CGUUUUUUAGCAUUGAUGAGGCCACAGAAGAGCCUUAAACUGUUGUCAUUUGGUUUCAUAUAAAUAAAAUUGAAUUGAAUAGUGUGGAAGGAGGAACUCUUACAUUAGAGUUUGGCCCAUCAAGUCUCUAAUAUCCUGUAACAUGGAUUUCAUUCUGUAACUGUCCUGUCCCAAAAAGCCGCCCGGCAAAAUAUAGAAAAGCAAACCCGCAGAGAUGAUAUAAUAAUGCAAGCAUACUGCUACUUAAGUAAUGCAGCGGAAAGGAUGGCGAAAGCAUGGAUAUAGAGUUAUCGUGCACCGAGAAGCUGCUCUAAUCUGCUCUAUCCUCCUCCUGUCUCCACAUCAGCUUUUGGUUGCGGCGCCUUCUUAAACAUCACAUGAGGGUAGAUGCCUCCAGUCUGGCCACAGCAUUUACUACCAAAGACAGAGCAUUAGUUAGACCAUGUCAGAUGAGCAUGUUACUAAAUACAGCUGUUACAGUCAGAUAGAUACCUCCAAAGUCUAUACACGAGGCCGACCAGCAGCAGGACAGCUGCUACAAUGACAGCUGCUACAAUGACACCAAUCUGGGAAGGAGGCAUUCCUGAAAAGACAAACAGUUCAGCUACCAGCCAACAACAUCUAACAUCAUCUCAAAGGUCAAGUAGUUUGUUCAAAGGUACAAAAACAGACAUUUUCUCAGGGCUUACUACCAGUCUUGAGAAAUCUGCAUGCAGUUGCACAACAUUCAUAAUAAAACCUUAAAUAAAUCCUGUAAUUUAUCUGUGAAGUCAUAAAUAAAUAGAGUUUAGCACUAGUUUAACAAAGUUUGAUCUCCUCACUAAGUGGUGCUGAAGAUCAGUUCUCUGCUAACAUGAGCCACAGCGAGCCACCUGAGGCCUGAGCACGCUACCUGUAUAUCAAAUGCCUACCUGUGCCAUCAAUCAGAGCUUCUGGAGGGCAGACGGCUGUAAAAGAACAUCAGAAAAUCACAUUAGACUUAUAAAUUAACACAGAAACUCUAACACGGGCUGAACAAAUAAAGAAAAAUUUUUUAAUUUUAUUAAAUUUAGCACAGUGAUACUCACGGGUGCAGCUGGCUGUGUAAUCAUAUGCUCUUUGCUAUGAAGAACAAAGACACAGUGAUUGUGAUUAAAGGUUGUUUUCACAGCAUAGAAAGCAAUUGCUUUCUUUCCGAGCUCCGCAGACAACCAUGACCUGGAUGACUGAGAACCCACACAGACAUUUUCACAGUAAAUUCAUCUCAUCAUUUCCAGAUUAAACCCCUCCUAUGAACACAAUGUUCACCCCACAAUGCUUAACAUAACUCAGAAAAUCUCUUCCCUCACAUGUUUGCAUUUUUAAACGUUUUUUUUAUGACUCAAUCAGUUCAUAACAAGGUAUUUUUUAAAGAGUCAUACCUUUAUCUCGCAAGUGGCUGUGAAGCUAACAUUGCCGAUGCAUUUGGAGGUGAUUAGUGUGCCAAAGCUGCUGCUCAUCACGGGCUGCAGGAACAGGCCCCGGUGGUGUGCGAUCACAAAAUC
ensembl:lncRNA